rnacentral:misc_RNA from 1 species
UAUAAAAAGUUUCUUUUCAUUUAAUAAAAAUGCUCUUUGCUCUUCAACAUUUAUUUUUCUAACAGUUUUAUCAUGCAAUUUCCGUCUCCAGUAUUUCCUAAUCAAGUUUCAAAGCUUGAAUUUCAGGAGAGUAGAAGUCCCAUCUAGGCCUUUGGUUUUGAAAUGGUCAGAGUACUCUCUCACGGUGGUUUCCCUGUACUUAGGAGGAUUCUCUUCUGAUAACAACUCCUUAAUAGGACCAUAGAGUCUUGAUGUUGGCUUCAGAUUUGUGCUAAAGAAGCAAGCCACAGAUAUUCUCGGUCCUACACGGUUUGCCACCACCCUAUG